ACGGAGUUAGCCGGUGCUUAUUCACCCGGUACCGUCAUCAUCUUCCCGGGUAAAAGGGUUUACAACCCGAAGGCCUUCAUCACCCACGCGGCGUCGCUGGAUCAGGGUUGCCCCCAUUGUCCAAGAUUCCCCA
rnacentral:rRNA from 1 species